CUUUGCCUACGGGGCGCAGCAGUGGGGGAUAUUGCACAAUGGGGGAAACCCUGAUGCAGCGACGCCGCGUGGGUGAAGAAGCGCCUCGGCGCGUAAAGCCCUGUCAGCAGGGAAGAAAAUGACGGUACCUGAAGAAGAAGCCCCGGCUAACUACGUGCCAGCAGCCGCGGUAAUACGUAGGGGGCAAGCGUUAUCCGGAUUUACUGGGUGUAAAGGGGGCGCAGACGGCGAUGCAAGCCAGGAGUGAAAGCCCGGUGCCCAACCCCGGGACUGCUCUUGGAACUGCGUGGCUAGCGUGUCGGCGG
rnacentral:rRNA from 1 species